rnacentral:lncRNA from 1 species
UUCUUAACUCAUGAGUUUUUACUUUUUUCCUGAUUCUCCUUCCAAUCUCACUGUGGAUGGGGGAAGCGAAUGAUGAGGUGUGUGGUACUUAAUUGCAUCCAGUGUUUGUAUCCAGUGGUACUUAUUUUGGCAUGAAGGGUUGAUGUAACCACGGGUCUGAUCAGAGCCUGUUGAAAGAAAUUUGUUACAAGCAAUUUUUUGUAAGGUCAGUGAAAAUUUUGUGAACGGCAGGUGGUACAUGGUGAUUUAUUCUUAGAAAUUGCAACACCUUGUGAUCUGAAGAUAAUAUGUAUCUGUCACUUGCCUAAAGAUCAGUCCUUUCAUGAGUAGUGUAUUCUGGUAUGAAAUAGAAAUUACUUUUUCUUUUAGUCAGCCUCAAUGUAGAAAUGGAAGUCAGAGGAAAUGCUGAUUUUAUGUGUAUAGCUUACUUGCUUUUUUCUCUGUUGAAGUUUUCAGAGAAUGAGCUGGAAUAUAGUCCUCUUGUUAAACUGCUGAUGGUGAGAACUAGAAAAUCCAAGUGCUCUUCUUCUCUAUUUGCAGUGUGGAUUGAAAUUGAACCAGAAUGGCUGCUGUUACCUCAGAUACUCCUCCAAACUCAAGCUGCAAAAUCAUGACUUUUAGGCCUUCGAUGGAUGAAUUCAGGGAAUUCAACAAAUACUUGGCACAUAUGGAAUCACAAGGUGCUCAUAGGGCUGGAGUUGCAAAGGUAAACAUCUAUAACAUGGAAGAAAAAUGUUCCUAAUACCUGAUCUCCCAUUAUUUGUAUUUUGCUCAUUACAAACCUGACCUUUUUAUUAUUUAAUUUUUUCCCAGAUGAUUUUCAAGGAGUAGGUAAUGAUUUGUUACUGUUUUAAGAAAGCCUUUUGGUGUCUCUGAUAUUUCAUGCAGACUAAUGAAGAUGUUGUAUAGUGUUUUCUCUCUAACUGUAAAUUGUUUACAAGUUUACAAGAGCAAUACAGGUUCUCCUUCUAAGUAGAUUUAAACUAUUUUUUGUCAAAUCAGAACAAAGCAG